rnacentral:rRNA from 1 species
GACGAACGCUGGCGGCGUGCCUAAUACAUGCAAGUCGAACGCAGUGGGGACGGGUGAGUAACACGUGGGUAACCUCCCAUCAGAGGGGAUAACACUUGGAAACAGGUGCUAAACCGAUACUGAUGGAUGGACCCGCGGUGCAUUAGCUAGUUGGUGAGGUAACGGCCCACCACGUCCACGAGGCCUAGCCGACCUGAGAGGGUGAGCGGCCACACUGGGGGUGAGGAACGGCCCAUGCUCCUACGGGAGCCAGCAGUAGGGAAUCUGCGGCAAUGGACCGAAGUCUGACCGAGCAACGCCGCGUGAUUGAAGAAGGGUUUCGGAUCGUAAAACUCUGUUGUUAGAGAAGCGGUACCUAACCAGAAAGCCACGGCUAACUACGUGUCAGCCGCCGCGGUAAUUC